GCUCCGUUUGACGACGCUGCCAACUCUCGCCGUCCCAGUCUUCUUGCACUCUCUCUCCUCCCGCUUGUCUCGCCACUGGUCGUAUCCUUUGACUUGUCAAUCCUCAGACGGACCAGCUAGAAGUUCGUUUACAAGCUGUGAUACUAGUUGGAGACCUAUUUUCCACUCCAGGCCAUGCUAUCACUGAGCCUUUCCAGCCAAUCUUUUCAGAGUUCUUGAAGAGGCUGACUGAUAAAGCUGUUGAAGUAAGAAUGUCUGUGCUUGAACAUGUCAAGAACUUCCUGCUGUGAAAUCCUUCUAGAGCUUAAUCUUCUCAAAUAAUUGAUGCCUUAUGCGAUUGACUGCUGGACUAUGAUGAGAACGUGAGAAAGCAAGUUGUCACUGUUA